GCUUAGAAGCAGCCACUCAUUAAAAGAGUGCGUAAUAGCUCACUGGUCGAGUGACUCUGCGCGGAAAAUAUAACGGGGCUAAGCGUAACACCGAAGCUUGGGCUGCACAGCAAUGUGCGGGGUAGGGGAGCGUCGAAUAUGGGGUGAAGUCGCAGCGGAAGCAGCGGUGGACUGUAUUCGAGUGAGAAUGCCGGAAUGAGUAGCGAGAAUUAUGUGGGAAUCAUAAUGGCCGAAAAUCUAAGGUUUCUUGGGGAAGGUUCGUCCGCCCAAGGUAAGCCGGGAGCUAAGGCGAGGCCGAAAGGCGUAGUCGAUGCACAUACGGUAGAAAUUCCGUAGCCACCGAACUUUAAGUCAGAGGGACACUUUUGGAUAGCGGAACCCGGGCGUUGGUUGACCCGGGCGAAAGGGAGCGAAAAUAUAGUAGCGAAGUCCGCGAUGCUGAGAGGCGAGAAAAGCUCUGAUGGAUACUAAGGUGCCCGUACCGCAAACCGACACAGGUAGAUGAGGAGAGAAUCCUAAGGCCAACGGGAGAAGGGUUGUUAAGGAACUCGGCAAAAUGACCCCGUAACUUCGGGAUAAGGGGAGCCUCCUACGGGAGGCCGCAGCGAAUAGGCCCAAGCGACUGUUUACCAAAAACACAGGUCUCUGCUAAAUCGAAAGAUGACGUAUAGGGGCUGACGCCUGCCCGGUGCUGGAAGGUUAAGAGGAGAUGUUAGCCGCAAGGCGAAGCAUUGAAUCGAAGCCCCAGUAAACGGCGGCCGUAACUAUAACGGUCCUAAGGUAGCGAAAUUCCUUGUCAGGUAAGUUCUGACCCGCACGAAUGGCGUAACGACUUGGGCGCUGUCUCAACAGCCCACCCGGCGAAAUUGUUGUACUGGUGAAGAAGCCAGUUACCCGCAACUAGACGGAAAGACCCCAUGGAGCUUUACUGUAGCUUAAUACUGGAAAUCGGUAAAUCAUGUACAGGAUAGGUGGGAGACUUGGAAGCCAGGGCGUCAGCUUUGGUGGAGUCACCCUUGGGAUACCACCCUUGAUUUGCUGGUUUUCUAACCUGCGGCCGUGAAUCCGGUCGGGGGACACUGUUAGGUGGGCAGUUUGACUGGGGCGGUCGCCUCCUAAAAGGUAACGGAGGCGCUCAAAGGUUCGUUCAGCACGGACGGAAACCGUGCAGUGAGUGUAAACGCAUAAACGAGCCUAACUGCGAGACCGACGGGUCGAGCAGUAACGAAAGUUGGAGUUAGUGAUCCGGCGGUAUGUGAGUGGAAAUGCCGUCGCUCAACGGAUAAAAGCUACCCUGGGGAUAACAGGCUGAUCUCCCCCAAGAGUCCACAUCGACGGGGAGGUUUGGCACCUCGAUGUCGGCUCAUCGCAUCCUGGGGCUGAAGUAGGUCCCAAGGGUUGGGCUGUUCGCCCAUUAAAGCGGUACGCGAGCUGGGUUCAGAACGUCGUGAGACAGUUCGGUCCCUAUCUGUCGUGGGCGUAGGAUAUUUGAAAGGAGCUGUCCCUAGUACGAGAGGACCGGGAUGGACGCACCUCUGGUGCACCAGUUGUCACGCCAGUGGCACAGCUGGGCAGCUAUGUGCGGAACGGAUAAACGCUGAAGGCAUCUAAGCGUGAAGCCGCCCUUAAGAUAAGAUAUCCCUUCUGUUUACAGAGUAAGACCCCUUGAAGACUACAAGGUUGAUAGGCUCAAAGUGUAAGCACGGUGACGUGUUUAGCUAGCGAGUACUAAUCGGUCGAGGGCUUAACCU
rnacentral:rRNA from 1 species